AGCGAACGCUGGCGGCGUGCCUAACNCAUGCAAGUCGAACGUGAACGGCUUCGGCCAAGUAAAGUGGCAUACGGGUGAGUAACACGUGGAUAAUCUACCUGAGAGUCUGGAAUAACCUGCCGAAAGGCGGGCUAAUACCGGAUGAUGUCUUCGGACCAAAGAUUUAUCGCCUUUAGAUGGGCCCGCGUUGGAUUAGCUAGUUGGUGGGGUAAAGGCCUACCAAGGCGACGAUCCAUAGCUGGUCUGAGAGGAUGAUCAGCCACACUGGGACUGAGACACGGCCCAGACUCCUACGGGAGGCAGCAGUGGGGAAUAUUGGACAAUGGGCGAAAGCCUGAUCCAGCAAUGCCGCGUGAGUGAUGAAGGCCUUAGGGUUGUAAAGCUCUUUACCCGAGAUGAUAAUGACAGUAUCGGGAGAAUAAGCUCCGGCUAACUCCGUG
rnacentral:rRNA from 1 species